CGACAGGAUUGUUAAGAAAAGGAUAAGCUUGAGAACAGGCAUAUUUAUUUCGUUUCAUUUGCGAUUUUUAAAAAUCGCUAACGUUGCGUUAUGCUAAUGAGCUUGAGGCUGUAGUAACGAUACCGCAUGCGGGAUGGGGCGGACUAAGAGGUUAAAUAAAGGUUAAAUAAAAAUAAAAUAAAUAAAAAUCGUACUAAAUGGAUUGCUUCGGAACAUACAGAAUAAUACGUAAUGCUCUGAGACCAGGUUGGCAGAUAUACUGCUGGUAUCAACAGCUGUGGUUACUUCGGGGGAAACUUGUAUCCACUUCUGUAUUGGUAGGCAGCGCUGCUAUACAUAUUGUUGUACAUACAUGUUGGAGACAGUUCUAGUUUGCAUGCUUAACCUACUGUUCAACCGUGGUAGUUGUGCUACAUCGGGGCCUGAGAAUAAUGCUUCAGUUAUAAUAAAUUCGCGGAGCAAGUCCAUCUCAAUAGAUUAGACUAAAAACGCCUGCCCUAAAUCUCAUCUCAUCUCCUCUCCUCCUUCUCUGAUCUGAAGACACAAGAUUAGCACCGAGGUAAAGUUAGUUUCAGGUUGUAUAUUCGACGGAUAUUCGCCUGUAGUUUUCCUUACAUCCACCAACAGCAGUUAGGGACCGGCAACAUAGUGACAAAUCAACAUUUUCAAAAUUCAAUAGCUCUUUAACCAUUACUCCUAACAAUUUCAAAAUUGGUUGUAGCUAACCCGAUGGCAUAGACACACAUUGCACACCCUGUAGUUUGUCCAUUUUCAUCUCACAUGGUUUUACAUGAAUUUUUCAAAAUGUUGAAUUUCAAUAGCUCUUUUGUCAUGUGAUCUGGUGAAUUCAAGCACGUUUCAGAAUGUCCACUCAGUGGGCCUACACAUUGCACACCCUUGAGUUUGUCCAUUUUUAUCUCACAUGGUUUUACAUGCAUUUUACACAUUUUAGAAUUUCAAUAGCUCCUUGGUCAUGUGACCUGGUGACUUCAAACAAGGCUCAGAAUGUCCACUCAGUGGGCCUACACAUUGCACACCCUUUAGUUUGUCAAUUCUUUUUAUAUAUACAUAUAUAUAUUUUUUUUGAUCUCAGAUGGUUUUACAUUAAUAGUUUGUAAGUAGUAAAUAAAUAGUUUGUAAGUUUAUGAGAAACUUAUUUGCUUAAAAUGGGCGGAGACCAGUCUCAAAAUCAAGCACUAGCGUUUAUUCUCGAGAGUACUGAACACGAUUCAAUUUACCACAGGUCAUAAACUGAAAAUGACGUCAUUAGUUUUCGAACUGCCCCGUCUCUUCUCCACUCCGGUACAAUGGCAGUGUAGUUCUCAAGCCUUCCCACAUCGUCUCCCACCAAUUUAGAUAAUUUAUGACCGAGCCAAGGUCUUCCUGUGUAGAUAAGCAUUCUAGCCAGUCUGACGAUAAGUUCAUUCGUUUCUACCAAGGAACAGACAGUCAUUGUUCUAAUUCUUGAUUAUAAUGACACACAUUAUAUUCAGUACUAGGAUUCAAAUACAAUUCAUACAUCUUAUACAGUAACAUAAUAGUAUUCUGAUUAGUCAAUCCUGAUUGAAAUGUAUACAUAAUUAGUCAUUAUUGAUAAAAAAAAAUCCCUUAACAGUUUCUCAAAUGACUGUCUCGCCUGGUUCACCAACUACUUCUCAGAGUUCAGUGUGUCAAAUGGGAGGGCCUGUUGUCCGGACCUCUGCCAGUCUCUAUAGGGGUUCCACAGGGUUCAAUUCUCGGGCCGACUCUUUUCUCUGUAUAUAUCAAUGAUGUCGCUCUUGCUGCUGGUGAUUCUCUGAUCCACCUCUACACAACCGACACCAUUCUGUAUACUUCUGGCCCUUCUUUGGACACUGUGUUAACAACCCUCCAGACAAGCUUCAAUGCCAUACAACUCUCCUUCUGUGGCCUCCAACUGCUCUUAAAUGCAAAUAAAACUAAAUGCAUGCUCUUCAACCGAUCACUGCCCGCAUCUGCCACCCCCCUAGCAUCACUACUCUGGACGGUUCUGACUUAGAAUAUGUGGACAACUACAAAUACCUAGGUGUCUGGUUAGACUGUAAACUCUCCUUCCAGACUCAUAUUAAGCAUCUCCAAUCCUAAAUUAAAUCUAGAAUCAGCUUCCUAUUUCGCAACAAAGCAUCCUUCACUCAUACUGCCAAACAUACCCUCAUAAAACUGACUAUCCUACCGAUCCUUGACUUCGGCGAUGUCAUUUACAAAAUAGCCUCCAACACUCUACUCAGCAAUUUGGAUGCAGUCUAUCACAGUGCCAUCCGUUUUGUCACCAAAGUCCCAUAUACUAACCACCACUGCGACCUGUAUGCUCUCGUUGGCUGGCCCUCGAUUCAUAUUCGUCGCCAAACCCACUGGCUCCAGGUCAUCUAUAAGUCCUUUCUAGGUAAAGCCCCGCCUUAUGUCAGCUCACUGGUCACCAUAGCAGCACCCACCCGUAGCACACGUUCCAGAAGGUAUUUUUCACCCAAAGCCAAUUCCUCCUUUGGCUGCCUUUCCUUCCAGUUCUCUGCUGCCAAUGACUGGAACGAAUUGCAAAAAUCACUGAAGCUGGAGACUCUUAUCUCCAUCACUAUCUUUAAGCAUCAGCUAUCAGAGCAGCUAACAGAUCAUGCACAUGUAUGUAGCCCAUCUGUAAAUAGCCCAUCCAACUACCUCAUCCCCAUAUUGUUAUUUAUUUUUAUAUAUUUAUUUUUUUGCUCCUUUGCACCACCAUCUCUAUUUGCACAUUCAUCUUCUGCACAUCUCACUCCAGUGUUUAUUUGCGAAAUUGUAAUUAUUUUGCCACUACGGCCUAUUUAUUGUCUUUCCUCCCUAAUCUUACUUAAUUUGUACACACUGUAUAUAGACUUUUGUAUUGUGUUAUUGACUGUACGUUUGUUUAUUCCAUGUGUAACUCUGUGUUGUUGUUUGUGUCACACUGCUUUGCUUUAUCUUGGCCAGGUCGCAGUUGUAAAUGAGAACUUGUUCUCAACUGGCUUACCUGGUUGAAUAAAGGUGAAAUAAAAAAAUAAUCAAAUACUGUAUGUGGGAAUGUCUUAUGUCCGUCCUACAUGUAGUGUUGGUACAUGGACUAUUCCUCAACUGCAUAUAUCAUAAAUUGCUAUUGAAAAUAGAAGUAUUAUUUUCAACAACUGACAUUUUCAGAUUUUAUUUUGACACACACUUGGUGCUUACAAUUCAUUCUCUACUGUCAUAGAUUUGGUGGGCACUGUCAUCUGAUCUUUGUGAUAUGACUUUCUUUAAGCACGUACUGAUGAAACUGUCACUUAAUAUUUUUUUCUUAAAGUCUAAAAACGCUCUACAGUCGUGGCCAAAAGUUUGGAGAAUGACACAAAUAUUAAUUUCCACAAAGUUGGCUGCUUCAGUGUCUUUAGAUAUUUUUGUCAGAUGUUACUAUGGAAUACUGAAGUAUAAUUACAAGCAUUUCAUAAGUGUCAAAGGCUUUUAUUGACAAUUAGAUGAAAAGAGUCAAAAUUUGCAGUGUUGACACUUCUUUUUCAAGACCUCUGCAAUCCGCCCUGGCAUGCUGUCAAUUAACUUCUGGGCCACAUCCUGACUGAUGGCAGCCCAUUCCUGCAUAAUCAAUGCUUGGAGUUUGUCAGAAUUUGUGGGGUUUUGUUUGUCCACUCCCCUCUUGAGGAUUGACCACAAGUUCUCAAUGGGAUUAAGGUCUGGGGAGUUUCCUGGCCAUGGACCCAAAAUAUCUAUGUUUUGGACCCCGAGCCACUUAGUUAUCACUUUUACCUCAUGGCAAGGUGCUCCAUCAUGCUGGAAAAGGCAUUGUUCAUCACCAAACUGUUCCUGGAUGGUUAGGGGAAGUUGCUCUUGGAGGAUGUGUUGGUACCAUUCUUUAUUCAUGGCUGUGUUCUUGGGCAAAAUUGUGAGUGAACCCACUCCCUUGGCUGAGAAGCAACCCCACACAUGAAUGGUCUUAGGAUGCUUUACUGUUGGCAUGACACAGGACUGAUGGUUGCACUCACCUUGUCUUCUCCGGACAAGCUUUUUUCAGGACGACCCAAACAAUUGGAAAGGGGAUUCAUCAGAGAAAAUGACAGUACCCCGGUCCUCAGCAGUCCAAUCCAUGUACCCUUUGCAGAAUAUCAGUCUGUCCCUGAUGUUUUUCCUGGAGAGAAGUGGCUUCUUUGCUGCCCUUCUUGACACCGGGCCAUCCUCCAAAAGUCUUUGCCUCACUGUGCGUGCAGAUCCACUCACACCUGACUGCUGCCGUUCCUGAGCAAGCUUUGUACUGGCAGUGCCCCGAUCCCGCAGUGAAUCAACUUUAGGAGACGGUCCUGGUGCUUGCUGGACUUUCUUGGGCGCCCUGAAGCCUUCUUCACAACAAUUGAACCGCUCUCCUUGAAGUUCUUGAUGAUCCGAUAAAUGGUUGAUUUAGGUGCAAUCUUACUGGCAGCAAUAUCAUUGCCUGUGAAGCCCUUUUAGUGCAAAGCAAUGAUAACGGCACGUGUUUCCUUGCAGGUAACCAUGAUUGACAGAGGAAGAACAAUGAUUCCAAGCACCACCCUCCUUUUGAAGCGUCUAGUCUGUUAUUCGAACACACUCAGCAUGACAGAGUGAUCUCCAGCCUUGUCCUUGUCAACACUCACACCUGUGUUAACGAGAGAAUCACUGACAUGAUGUCAGCUGGUCCUUUUGUAGCAGGGCUGAAAUGCAGUGGAAAUGUUUUUUGGGGAUUCAGUUCAUUUGAAUGGCAAAGAGGGACUUUGCAAUUAAUUGCAAUUCAUCUGAUCACUCUUCAUAACAUGCUGGAGUAUAUGCAAAUUGCCAUCAUACAAACUGAGCCAGCAGACUUUGUGAAAAUACAUAUUUGUGUCAUUCUCAAAACUUUUGGCCACGACUGUACAUUUAUUCACUCUGUGAUAGGGUUGGAUCCUAUAUGCCACUUUUAGUGUCCUGUAAAUGGUUCAGUGCCUAUAAUUUAGGCUGUGUGUAGAAUGGGGCAUAAAGGAAAUUACCUCUACUAAUAAAUUACUACUAGAUUAUAGUGAUAAGGAAAACAGCAUACAAAUUUGGCUUGUGUAUUCAUUUGCCUAUUGUUAAUCAUAAUUCCAUUAUUUUUACAUAAAAAAGAGAAUACUUCAAAAUGAGAAGAUCCUGCCAUGGAAAAGACGACUGGGCGGACAUAAAGGAGGGAAAAUAACUCACACCAUGCAGCAGGACACCUUCAGCUGUGGGGUCUUUGUAUUGCAGGUUUGAUAGUUAUAUUUUCAAUAAUGAAUGGUUAGCUGUUAUUUUUUGGUGUAGAUGGCCAAGGAAGUUGCACAGAACUUCCCCAACAUCCCUUCCCAAAUUAAUAUGGAACCUUCAAAAACACAUGGAGCAACUGUGAAAAGAAAUGGCUGAGGAUAUAUUAAAAAUGUCUGGUAUGUAAUGACAUUUAAUUCAAAGUAAAUGUAAAUUCUUUAUUUUUAUGUAGUAGUGUGGGACAGCCAUAUGUUCAGUUCAUGCCUCUGAUGUCAGAGUUCAACAAAGCCAACAACUGCUUCAUGUGUGUCACUGAUAAAGAACCAUGGAUGUGGCCCAAAGACUGACUGGGAAUGAAGACAGAGUUCAACAUAGUAAAGAACACAAACUGGAAGUGCAGUCUUUGUUGUUGAAAAUGUAUGCUAUACCCCACCAACACUGAAGAGAUAAAACCAGGGAUAAAGAGAAAGUUAACACUGUGAAAUGUUUCAUGCUUAAUUGAAGUUAAGUGUCUGUUGAUAUUUUGGAAAAGAUUAAAGGUCUACAAUUUGUUUAA